rnacentral:lncRNA from 1 species
GCUGGGAUUACAGGCGUGCACCAACGCUUGGCUAAUUUCUUUGUAUUUUUAGUAGAGAUGGGGUUUCACCAUGUUGGCCAGGCUGGUCUCGAACUCCUGACCUCAUGUGAUCCACCCACCUUGGCCUCCCAAAGUGCUGGGAUUACUGGCAUGAGUCAUCACACGUGGCCUAGAUUCAUCUAAAUUUUAAAACAUGGGAUGUUGCAAUCAGAUAGAAGAGCCAGAUCCAGUAUUGGCAGCUGUUACUGGUUUUGUGACCUGAAGAAGCUAAUCAAUGUUUCUAAGCCUCAAUUCCCUUCUCUGUAAAAGUGGGUGCUCACAGUGUUGUUGAGAAGAUUAAGCAGGGAAGAGUGUGUGAAACUACCUUACACAUAGCAAGGGCUCAAUAAAUGGUAGUAACUGUUCUUUGUUUUAAAAAAUUUUUGCUUAAUCCACUGCACAAUAAAGUGACCCAUGGAAGACCUUGGGAAAUGUUUACAGGUUUCAAAUUUGGUGUUUGCCAAGUAUUGCAAAACAUCUACCCCUCCUCACUACACACUUGUACUCCUGUUAAAAUACAUUACUGUGCUUGAAGGUGUCCAGUCUUCUAUUGUCUUGCAUAGUAGCACAGGCGAGCUUGGUGAAGGUAGGUGGAAUCAGGGUGUGUUUUCAGCAACAAGUGAGCAGAGGAGCUGAGCGGGUGGUUCUGAGCAAAGGGCCCGAGAAGUGACAGCAGAGGGGGAGUGAUGCCGAAACGAUAAUAUUAGAGUACACAGAGUAAUGCACAGCUGCCAGGUCACACAAUUUGAGAACUGCUUCAGAACAGUCAACUCUUCCACGCUGUUGCUAAGAGACGGGGGAGGUGGGGAGGCAUUCAUCCCUUGAACAAAAGGGAGGGGAAAAACACGAACAGACAUGAACUCUAAGUUUUGGAAAUGAUUUCAUGGACUCCUAUUUUCUGAACGUUAGUGUCUUUGGAGACAUUUUCAUGUGUUGAGUUCCUACUGUGUGCUAUGUGUGGCUCAAGGCACUGGGGAGAGAGCAGUGGACAAAGUCCCUGUUUUCAUGGAGCUUCUAUUGGAUUUGGUCUUCUCCUUUGAUGUUGAGGGGACUGACUGAGGUCCUCAGAAGGGAAGAACUUGCCUAAGAACUGAAGGCAACCUAUUGGCAAAGCUGAUAUUUGAAUCCAGGCCUCCUAAAUCCAAGAUCGAGACUUUUUCCAUAUACUACAUUUUACAAAAGAGAUUCAUCUGCAGCAGAUUUUAACGUUAGCUAGGACUUAAGUACCUCAGCUAGGUCAAGGUCCAUUCACUGGAGAUUUCUGCAAAUGAGUCCAAAAAAAUGAUGUUUUUUUAAUUUCAAGUGUCCCACGGAGAAGUUUCAUAUUUAUUCAGAGUCCUUGUCUUCCAUUAUUACACCUAGUUGAAUGAAACUGUAUAGUAUGAAAGGAGGUAGGGAGAAUCAAAACAGGAAAAAGAUUUGGGUAUCUCAUAACUGCUGAAAAUUAGCAAGACAUGGAAGUCAAGAGAUCUGGGUGCAGAAGCAGUUUCUACUUCUUCCUACCUGUGACCUUACCUCUUUAGGCCUGUUUUCCCACCUAUAACAUGAGGGAUUGCAUUAUAAUAAUCUCAGCAUUCUUCUCCAGCUCUAAAUUUAUGAUGAGUCACCCAACAGUGCCAUGCAGUGAAAAUAGCCCUAAGGCCCUAAGAUGUAAUUUCAGAGAGUGACUGUGGUUCAAAGAUGAAAAACUGAGUGUUAAUUGCCCCUUCUCCUGUGCUCCCAUGGUCCUAGGGCAGGGUGCUGCUGUAGUGCACAUUCUGCUGUGCAUGCUGAGAAGCUGGCUCCGGGUCUGCACCAGCAGAAAGGUCUGUGCUUAUGGAGGGUGAGCACUGUGUCCUGUGCACUGCCACGUGACUGUUUUUGUAGGCCUUUCUUCCCAUCAGACCAUGACUACUUUGAUGGCAGGGACCAUGUCUUAUUUAUCCUUCUGCCUUAGUGCCUGCCGCUGAGUAGUCUGUAGAUGUUUACAGAGUGAAGGAAUCAAUGAAUAAUGACUGAGUGAGAAAACUAUACUUUUUCAGGGUCAAUAAAGGAAAUAGCACAAGAGAAUCUCCCCUGAUAAACUUGUCAAAGUGAUCCCAGAAUUAAACAUUCAGGCUGGAGAGGUUAUUAGUGACUUGCUUAAGGCCACAUUGUUUAAAAGCAGCAAAGCUAGGACUCCUUUCCUCUCUCCUUUUCUUUCUUUUAUUCAGUACCCCAAAAGGGUGUUUGGCUCCAGCAUUGAACACAGGUGACUUUGAAUAACAAUUUAUCGGAACAAGAUGAAUUUUGAAGCAGGUAGGAGGGUGGCUUUUGAGUCUGACAGAUGUGGGUUCAAAUCCUCUGGGGCCGCUGACUAUCAGUGUGAUCUAUGGCAACUUAACCUCCCGGAAGCUCAGUUUCCUCGUGUGAAAAGUAGAAGUGAUAACAUCUCCACCAUCUCCCUUGCAGGCUGCUUCUGUGGGGUCAUUUGAAGGCUUAUGGUUAACCCAGAUAAGAGGUAGGAUGGGAGUUUCUAACACAAGUCUCUUACUGUCCUGCACGAUUUGUUGCUUCAGAGAAAUGGGGUCUUCUCUAUCUUUUUUGAAAUUCCAUUGUUGGCUUAGACAAUGAGUAGCCUUCUGUGUAUGUGAUGUACAUUCUCCCCCAGACCUACUGUUAUGUAUUUUCCAGCCUACUGAGGUAGUCCAGGCCCAUUCACUAUACACAUCAGUGUGUGCUGGCUUGUGUUUUUACCCUUUCUGCAGCUACAGCCUGAACUAAGACUGGGUCCUUGCAGCUCUCCAACACAUGAUUGCUGCCUGCCAGAACCACAGACCUUUCUCGGGACUGGCACGAAUUUCAGCCAACAGAGCCUGCACAGAAACACAUGGAAAAGGCUUCCGGUGGAGCUUACUGUGAGUCACAGACAGCCAUAGUUGCACUGGAUAGAGAGCUGGCAGAUGCCAUCAGCAUAUGCCCUUAGAAACUUUGGUUGUUUUGUGGCCUGGAGAAGAGCCCAGAAUUAUGGAGCCUAAGAGGCAGCACCUCUGCUUUCUGAAGAGGAAGCCGUAGUGCCGUGGACUUCACCACGUGCACAGUGGCUGCAUCCAGACCUGAAUGCCCCUCUCAUUACUCACCGGAAGUGAGCUUUGAACACUUCACACAGGAAGAUGACUCGCUCCUCCAACAAGAUGCAGAAAGUCUUUCCAAGCAAAUGACUUGAAGUGUUUAAAUAUUCUGUUUCUUAGUCUGCUUUUUUUCUGUUAAAUCCUUCAGCUUGAAUGAGCACCUUUAUCUGCAAAUUGAUCUGGUUGUAGCAUCCCUUGACCAUAAAAACACCAUAAAUAGGAUUUCUGAUGUCCAUUUUAUAGAUGAAGAAGGAAGGUUUAGCAAGGCCAUUCAAGGAUACACAGCUAGAGGACGAGAUGGAAUUGAAGUCCCUUUGUCAGCAUCCUUUUCAUUCUUGAUGCCAUUUCAUUUCCCCUCCUGGAAAGCCUUCCCACUCCAAGAGAAAAACUAUUAUACAAAUGAUACAACCUGCUAUGGAAAAAAGAGAAAUAACAGAUAAGUAUACAAAGAAAAUACAAGAAAAACAUGAACAGUAAUAAUCUUAUCCAAAUGUUACUGAGAUAUUUUUGGAGUACUUAAUUUCAAUCUUUUUCCUAUAUGCAAACACACACAACUUUUCUCUAACAAAAAUCAGAUCAUACUGUACUAGCAAACACCCUACCUGAAAUCUGUAUAUCCAUUGCCUAUUGAUUAUGCCCAUUGCUUAACAUACUAUGUUUUAUUUAAUCAUUAUUUAAUUGUUGAGUAUGCAAGUUAUUUCUGAGUUUUCACUCAAGCUGUUUACGCUUAUUUCUGUCUGGGUGUGAAUGAAUCUUUGGCACAUUCCUCUAGCAAGUUGAUCAACAUCUGGUCUAAGAUAUUCUUCGGUGUUGGGUUUGUGCUGUCCACAUCAGCUUAGCAAUGUCUGCACAAAGACUCCUUCCCCCUCAAAAGUGCCAUUCAGACUUGCUGUGGGUAUAAGGGGAACAAUCUCAUUGAGGAGAAAGUUGUCAUUGUGGUUGAGAACAUGAACUUUGGAAUUGGAUAGAGCUGUGUGAAUUUGGCCUAAACUCCGAGUCUGCUUCCACAUCUGUAAAAUGUAGACACAAAUAGUUACUCAUAAGGUUCUGGUGGGGAUUAAAUGUGGUUAUACCUGUAAAGUCCUUAGCAUUAUGCCCAGCACAUAGUGAAGAUGUUCGAUAAAUGAUAACUAAACAAACAUUGUGUCCCCUCCCACUACAACCACACUGCUCUCCCUCACCUUACAGACUUUGCUGCUUGACAAUCUUGGGGUGGGGCUGCUGAAAACUGAAUCUCAAUUUAGGAAGCCAUGUUGUCCCAGGAUUAGGGUUAUUGGCCUCACAUAAGAAUCUCCAAAUCUGCAGAAUCUCAGGCCCCACCCAAAAACUAUUCAAUCAGAAACUACAUUUUCAAAAGAUAUCCCAGAUGAUUUGUAUGCAUAGUAAAGUUUGAGAAGGUUUUAGUCCAGGUAUUCAGGAAGUGAUGCUGGUUGUGUAUGGAGGACAGGGGCCCAGGAACUGAUGAAAUCUCUAGUUUGGAAUUCUCGAUAGCAUUUGCAUUCUUUUUUUUUUUUUUUAUCUCAAAUCCAUCACUCAGUAGCAAUGUGAUCUUCACAAAGCUCCCUUUACUUUUACCACCAUAGUGUUGUAGGAGAAGCUCUAUCUUCCAAGUCAGACAGAUCUGGGCUUCAAUUCCAGCUUUGUUAACUGGAGGACUUAUUAUUAGCUGGGAGGACUUGCGACAAAUCAUACCAACUUUCUGAGCCCAGUUUCCUUCCCUGUAAAAUGUAGAUAAUACACCUUUCUUGAGGUGUUACUAGAGAUAACCAAUGAUAAAGUGUUUGGGAAAUCUGGCAUAUCGUAGGGGUACAAUGAGUAAGUGGUUUGACUCCAAAGACCUGAGUUUGGAUCUCAGCUCCACAACUCACUUGGCUGAUUGCUUUCUUUCCCUGGACUCAAGUUUCAUCAUCUGUAAAACUGGCAUUUCAACCAAAUAACUUCUGAAGUCUCUCCCUCCUUUAAAGCUUGAUAUUACAAGGGCAAAUUUUAGUACAAAUAUCCAAAUCCUAACGGUAACUCACAAUUACAAAAGAGCUGAGUCUGUCAUUCACCUGUCAAAUUAUCUAAACUGCGUCUCAGUCAGGAGAUGUGAAAAGAAGGAUGGAUUUUCUAUGAAUGUUUUCUUUUUUUUUUUUGAGACGGAGUCUCGCUCUGUCGCCCAGGCUGGAGUGCAGUGGCG